rnacentral:rRNA from 1 species
UACGAAGGGUGCAAGCGUUACUCGGAAUUACUGGGCGUAAAGCGUGCGUAGGUGGUUCGUUAAGUCUGAUGUGAAAGCCCUGGGCUCAACCUGGGAAUGGCAUUGGAUACUGGCGACCUAGAGUGCGGUAGAGGGGUGUGGAAUUCCCGGUGUAGCAGUGAAAUGCGUAGAUAUCGGGAGGAACAUCUGUGGCGAAGGCGACACCCUGGACCAGCACUGACACUGAGGCACGAAGGCGUGGGGAGCAAACAGG